ensembl:snoRNA small nucleolar RNA SNORA25
AGGUCAUUUCAGAGAGAGCUUGUGGAACCAAAACCAGGAGCUCUUAACACUGUGACUAAGGAUUGAAGUUCUCCAUAUGUAACUGUCACUCAAGAAUACUGUGUUUUCCCGAGGAGAUAAAAGA